UCCUGGCUCAGGAUGAACGCUAGCGACAGGCUUAACACAUGCAAGUCGAGGGGCAGCAUAGAAGUAGCAAUACUUGGUGGCGACCGGCGCACGGGUGAGUAACGCGUAUGCAACCUACCUAUCAGAGGGGAAUAACCCGGCGAAAGUCGGACUAAUACCGCAUAAAACAGGGGCACCGCAUGGUGAUAUUUGUUAAAGAAAUUCGCUGAUAGAUGGGCAUGCGUUCCAUUAGGUAGUUGGUGAGGUAACGGCUCACCAAGCCGACGAUGGAUAGGGGAACUGAGAGGUUGGUCCCCCACACUGGUACUGAGACACGGACCAGACUCCUACGGGAGGCAGCAGUGAGGAAUAUUGGUCAAUGGGCGGGAGCCUGAACCAGCCAAGUCGCGUGAAGGAAAGAAGGAUCUAUGGUUCGUAAACUUCUUUUGCAGGGGAAUAAAGUGCAGGACGUGUCCUGUUUUGUAUGUACCCUGAGAAUAAGGAUCGGCUAACUCCGUGCCAGCAGCUGC
rnacentral:rRNA from 1 species